CGGACGGGUGAGUAAUGUCUGGGAAACUGCCUGAUGGGGGGGGAUAACUACUGGAAACGGUAGCUAAUACCGCAUAACGUCGCAAGACCAAAGAGGGGGACCUUAGGGCCUCUUGCCAUCGGAUGUGCCCAGAUGGGAUUAGCUAGUAGGUGGGGUAACGGCUCACCUAGGCGACGAUCCCUAGCUGGUCUGAGAGGAUGACCAGCCACACUGGAACUGAGACACGGCCCAG
rnacentral:rRNA from 1 species